rnacentral:rRNA from 1 species
CUACCAUGCAAGUCGAGCGGUAACAGAUCCAGCUUGCUGGAUGCUGACGAGCGGCGGACGGGUGAGUAAUGCAUAGGAAUCUGCCCGAUAGUGGGGGAUAACCUGGGGAAACCCAGGCUAAUACCGCAUACGUCCUACGGGAGAAAGGGGGCUUCGGCUCCCGCUAUCGGAUGAGCCUAUGUCGGAUUAGCUAGUUGGUGAGGUAAAGGCUCACCAAGGCAACGAUCCGUAGCUGGUCUGAGAGGAUGAUCAGCCACAUCGGGACUGAGACACGGCCCGAACUCCUACGGGAGGCAGCAGUGGGGAAUAUUGGACAAUGGGGGCAACCCUGAUCCAGCCAUGCCGCGUGUGUGAAGAAGGCCCUCGGGUUGUAAAGCACUUUCAGCGAGGAAGAACGCCUAGCGGUUAAUACCCGCUAGGAAAGACAUCACUCGCAGAAGAAGCACCGGCUAACUCCGUGCCAGCAGCCGCGGUAAUACGGAGGGUGCAAGCGUUAAUCGGAAUUACUGGGCGUAAAGCGCGCGUAGGUGGCUUGAUAAGCCGGUUGUGAAAGCCCCGGGCUCAACCUGGGAACGGCAUCCGGAACUGUCAAGCUAGAGUGCAGGAGAGGAAGGUAGAAUUCCCGGUGUAGCGGUGAAAUGCGUAGAGAUCGGGAGGAAUACCAGUGGCGAAAGCG